rnacentral:rRNA from 1 species
UACGUAGGUGACAAGCGUUGUCCGGAUUUACUGGGCGUAAAGAGCGCGCAGGCGGUCGAUCAAGUCGAGUGUGAAAGCCCCCGGCUCAACUGGGGAGGGUCAUUCGAUACUGAUCGACUCGAAGGCAGGAGAGGGUAGUGGAAUUCCUGGUGUAGCAGUGAAAUGCGUAGAUAUCAGGAGGAACACCGAUGGCGAAGGCAGGUCUCUGGGCUGACACUGACGCUCAUGCACGAAAGCGUGGGGAGCAAACAGG